GACGGAGGAUGCAAGCGUUAUCCGGAAUCACUGGGCGUAAAGCGUCUGUAGGUGGUCAAUUAAGUCAACUGUUAAAUCUUGAGGCUCAACCUCAAAAUCGCAGUCGAAACUAUUAGACUAGAGUAUAGUAGGGGUAAAGGGAAUUUCCAGUGGAGCGGUGAAAUGCGUAGAGAUUGGAAAGAACACCGAUGGCGAAGGCACUUUACUGGGCUAUUACUAACACUCAGAGACGAAAGCUAGGGUAGCAAAUGGG
rnacentral:rRNA from 1 species